GAACUCAAAGUCUUGUAAUCUUGUGUCAGUCAUCUGUGCCAGAGCCAAAUGCUGAUGCCCAUGAAUCAUGGUCAAUUUUUCCCUCCACCUCAAACAAGCAAUCUUCCCUUUGGUUAUCAUCUGUUCAUGAGCAACCGCUAAAGCAUCCAUUAUCUGCAACAGGAGCAGUUUAUUUUCAGUUCAAAUGAACUGUAUAAUCUCAUAUUUUGGUGCCUCUGAUUUGCUGAGGAGUUUUGAAGUUGUCAGAGGUGAUCAUCCACUGCUUUGUCAGUCCAUCCAAGCUUCUGAAUUGCUUUCUGCUCUAUGUUGGCAAAAGCUGGUAAUCACUAUUUGGGGACUUCUCAAGUCAAUCUGUUUUACAAUAGAAAACAAAUAAAAUCAUGAUCUGCAUUCCAAUAUGAUUUUUAACAGUUUCUAAACUUAAUCAUUGUUUAAUGGUUUCAACUACAUCAUGUGUUAUAGCAGAUGGAUGAUGUAGGUGAGGUGAAUCCUGUCCAUGAACUCCACAUGCUACCUGAUUCUGCACC
rnacentral:lncRNA from 1 species